UACGGGGGGGGCAAGCGUUGUUCGGAAUUACUGGGCGUAAAGGGCUCGUAGGUGGCCAACUAAGUCAGACGUGAAAUCCCUCGGCUUAACCGGGGAACUGCGUCUGAUACUGGAUGGCUUGAGUUUGGGAGAGGGACGCGGAAUUCCAGGUGUAGCGGUGAAAUGCGUAGAUAUUAGCAGGAACACCGGUGGCGAAGGCGGCUAUCUGGACGACAACUGACGCUGAGGCGCGAAAGCGUGGGGAUCAAACAGG
rnacentral:rRNA from 1 species